GCCUGUGCAGUAUAGUGGUCUGAGCAUUGGACUACAACUCUGAAGACCAGGGUUGGAAUCCUGGCUCGGUCA